GCCAGGUAUGGUGGUGCACACCUGUAAUCCCAGCUACUUGGGAGGCUGAGGCAGGAGAAUCACUUGAUCCUGGGAGGUAGAGGUUGCAGUGAGCUGAGAUCGUGCCACUGCACUCCAGCCUGGGAGACAGAGUGAGACCCUGUCUCAA
rnacentral:SRP_RNA from 1 species